GGUCUUUUCAAUCCGUUUUGAGCCUGGGUUUUGGGGAACCAUCCACUCUUGCUUUCACUUCCUGAUGCUAGCUGGAAGCAAGAUUAGACCUUGGGAAGUCGUGAGAAAGCAUGGGGGUGGUAUGGAGUUUUAGCCUGGGAGGGGGAAAGCUGAGGCAGGCCUUGGGGCUGCUUCUUAGCCAGGGCUCUGCUGGCGGCGACCUGGAGGCUUCCAAGGGACAGAGAACUAACUGCACAGACAACAUUUAUGAACAGCUAGGGGCCUGGGAUUGCUCGCUUUUUAUGGCAGGUGCUGCAUCAAGCUAAUGUUGCCUAUGUGCCAGAGGGCAUGCAGAUUUGAGCCUGAAUCAGGAUUCUGACCUUGCCCGCCUGGUCACCUUUUCCGGUUCCAUCCAUGUGACUGCAAGGUUGAAGAUGGAUUUGGCUUUUGGUGGAAAGUGGGCUAAAUCCUUGACAAGGGAGGAGACAUGGCUCUGUGGGCAAAGCUGGGAGGUAGAAGUCCAGCACCAGAAAAUCAGAACUUCUUUGCCUCAGGCCCACCAUGGACCAAGUUAACCAGGAUUGACAUUUCUGCAUGGGGAGGGCUGAAAGGUAGCAUGACUUCAAGUCUGAUUGAGACUCUUCAGAGAGCUGUGCACAGUUUUAAUGUGCGUGACUGUAAGGCAGAAGCUGCACAUAGUAUCAGAGAGAAGACACUGAAGCUGUAGCCAAAUUCACUUUGUCCACCUGGAGAGGUUAGUGGUAGAAGCCAUGAUUGAACAGCCUACUGACAGAAGCUUAGUUUCUCUUUAUGAAUGAAGAUGGAUUUUCACCUACAGCUCUAAAAAUAGAAACUGACCAUUCUCCCCAGAACCACUUAGUACCCAAAAUGGAUGAAUCAGCAUAGAAACCUGAGAAAAUCCUUAAUAUUUGCCUUUGACAAUUAGCCCUGUAAAUUAACAAGCAGUUUUAAAAUAAAUAGUAUUUGAAUAAUUUUUUAA